AGAGAGAGAGAGAGAGAGAGAGAGACAGAGAGAGACAGAGAGAGAGAGAGGAGAGAGAGAGAGAAAUUUCAAUUUCCAGCAGUACACUAAUAUGUGCAGUAUAAUAUGUUUUUAUCUUUCUCAACAACAGACAUUUCUCUUCAACCUCCACCUGAGAGCCUGGAUUGGUCUGACCGACUCUGUCACUGAGGGGACCUGGAAGUGGGUGGACGGCACAUCACUGACCACAGGGUACUGGAGCGCAGGACAGCCUGAUGAUAAUGGGCAGGAGGACUGUGCUGAGAUAUACUUUAGACAAGAUGACCCUGUAAAGACAUGGAAUGAUGACAAUUGUGGCACAAAUCAUAACUGGAUCUGUGAGAAAGUGGUGUAACAAUAACACAGUAACAAACAUUCUGUCUCCUCUCUGUGUGUCUCUCUGUGUCUCUCAAUUAAUUUCAAUUAAAGGGGCUUUAUUGUCAUGGGAAACAUAUGCCAAAGCAAGAGAAGUAGAUAAUAUACAAAAGUGAAAUUAACAAUAAAAAAUAACAGUAAACAUUACACUCACAUAAGUUCCAAAAGAAUGAAGACAUUUCAAAUUCCAUAUCAUGUAUAUAUACAGUGUUGUAACAAUGUGCAAAUGGUUAAUGUACAAAAGGGAAAAUAAAUCAACAUAAAUACAGAG